rnacentral:rRNA from 1 species
AUUGAACGCUGGCGGAAUGCUUUACACAUGCAAGUCGAACGGCAGCACGGACUUCGGUCUGGUGGCGAGUGGCGAACGGGUGAGUAAUGUAUCGGAACGUGCCCAAUCGUGGGGGAUAACGUAGUGAAAAUUACGCUAAUACCGCAUACGAUCUAUGGAUGAGAGCGGGGGAUCGCAAGACCUCGCGCGAUUGGAGCGGCCGAUAUCAGAUUAGGUAGUUGGUGGGGUAAAGGCCCACCAAGCCAACGAUCUGUAGCUGGUCUGAGAGGACGACCAGCCACACGGGAACUGAGACACGGUCCAGACUCCUACGGGAGGCAGCAGGGGGGAAUUUUGGACAAUGGGCGAAAGCCUGAUCCAGCCAUUCCGCGUGCAGGAUGAAGGCCCUCGGGUUGUAAACUGCUUUUGUACAGAACGAAAAGGUUUCCACUAAUACUAGGAGCUCAUGACGGUACUGUAAGAAUAAGCACCGGCUAACUUCGUGCCAGCCGCCGCCGUAA